CUCAUAGCGUAUAUUUAAGUUGUUGCAGUUAAAAAGCUCGUAGUCGGAUUUUGGCUGAGAACGGUCGGUCCGCCGUUAGGUGUGCACUGACUGGUCUCAGCUUCCUGGUGAGGAGGUGUGCUUCAUCGCCACUUAGUCACCGUGGUUACUUUGAAAAAAUUAGAGUGUUCAAAGCGGGCUUACGCUUGAAUAUAUUAGCAUGGAAUAACACCAUAGGACUCCUGUCCUAUUUCGUUGGUCUCGGGACGGGAGUAAUGAUUAAGAGGAACAGUUGGGGGCAUUCGUAUUUCAUUGUCAGAGGUGAAAUUCUUGGAUUUAUGAAAGACGAACUUCUGCGAAAGCAUUUGCCAAGGAUGUUUUCAUUGAUCAAGAACGAAAGUUGGGGGCUCGAAGAUGAUUAGAUACCAUCCUAGUCUCAACCAUAAACGAUGCCGACUAGGGAUUGGCGGAUGUUAAUUGAUGACUUCGCCAGCACCUUAUGAGAAAUCAAAGUUUUUGGGUUCCGGGGGGAGUAUGGUCGCAAGGCUGAAACUUAAAGGAAUUGACGGAAGGGCACCACCAGGCGUGGAGCCUGCGGCUUAAUUUGACUCAACACGGGGAAACUUACCAGGUCCAGACAUAGUAAGGAUUAACAGAUUGAGAGCUCUUUCUUGAU
rnacentral:rRNA from 1 species